rnacentral:piRNA from 1 species
CAAUGGGACCUGAGAAGGUGGGGGCUGUGU